UACGGGGGGGCAAGCGUUGUUCGGAAUUACUGGGCGUAAAGGGCUCGUAGGCGGCCAACUAAGUCAGACGUGAAAUCCCCAGGCUCAACCUGGGAACUGCGUCUGAUACUGGAUGGCUUGAAUCCGGGAGAGGGAUGCAGAAUUCCAGGUGUAGCGGUGAAAAUGCGUAGAUAUCUGGAGGAAUACCGGUGGCGAAGGCGGCAUCCUGGACCGCA
rnacentral:rRNA from 1 species